UACAGAGGGUGCGAGCGUUGUUCGGAUUCAUUGGGCGUAAAGGGUGUGUAGGUGGCGCGCUAAGUCGGGUGUGAAAUUUCGGAGCUUAACUCCGAAACUGCAUUCGAUACUGGCGUGCUUGAGGACUGGAGAGGAGACUGGAAUUCAUGGUGUAGCAGUGAAAUGCGUAGAGAUCAUGAGGAAGACCAGUGGCGAAGGCGGGUCUCUGGACAGUUCCUGACACUGAGGCACGAAGGCCAGGGGAGCAAACGGG
rnacentral:rRNA from 1 species